CAUUAGAGGAAGUAAAAGUCGUAACAAGGUUUCCGUAGGUGAACCUGCGGAAGGAUCAUUACUGAAUUGUCAAACGGGUUGUUGCUGGCCCUCAUAGGGGGCAUGUGCACGCUCUGUUUACACAUCCACUCACACCUGUGCACCCUCUGUAGUUCUAUGGUCUGGGGGACCCUGUCUUCCUUCUGUGGUUCUACUUCUUUACACACACACUGUAAUAAAGUUUUAUGGAAUGUACAUCGCGUCUAACGCAAUACAAUACAACUUUCAGCAACGGAUCUCUUGGCUCUCGCAUCGAUGAAGAACGCAGCGAAAUGCGAUAAGUAAUGUGAAUUGCAGAAUUCAGUGAAUCAUCGAAUCUUUGAACGCACCUUGCGCCCCUUGGCUAUUCCGAGGGGCAUGCCUGUUUGAGUAUCAUGAACACCUCAACUCUCAUGGUUUGCCAUGAUGAGUUGGACUCUGGGGGUUUUGCUGGCCUGUGGUCGGCUCCUCUUAAAUUAAUCAGCCUCCCAGUGUUUGGUGGCAUCACGGGUGUGAUAAAUAUCUACGCUCGCUGUUGUCUGCCAGGUAACCUUUGGUAACAAAGGUUUGCUGGAGCUCACAGAUGUCUCUCCUCAGCGAGGACAACUUUUUUAAUGUUCGAUCUCAAAUCAGGUAGGACUACCCGCUGAACUUAAGCAUAUCAAUAAAGCGGGAGGA
rnacentral:rRNA from 1 species